rnacentral:rRNA from 1 species
UACAGAGGAGCCAAGCGUUGUCCGGAUUGACUGGGCGUAAAGCGCACGCAGGCGGUUGCGCGCGUGGGGUGUGAAAUCUGGCCGCUUAACGGCCAGGCGCCAUCCCAUACGGCGCGACUGGAGUGAUGCAGAGGUCGAUGGAAUUGCCGGUGUAGUGGUGAAAUGCGUAGAGAUCGGCAGGAACACCCAGGGGGGAAACCAGUCGACUGGGCAUCUACUGACGCUGAGGUGCGAGGAGCGUGGGGAGCGAACCGG